rnacentral:lncRNA from 1 species
UUGAUCAGAUAAGUAUAGCACUUAUCACUUUUUCACUUGAUCAGAUAAGUGUAGCUAAAGCUACCACUUAUCACUUUAUCUCUUGAUCAGAAGUACUCAAAUCCGGCGUUCCGCUUAAUUUGAUCAUUUAUUCGAUUUUCGCAUUUUUAUUUUACUCUCAUUUCAACACUAAAUACAUUUCAUCAUACAUUAUAUAAUUCAUGAAAUUAACAUUUAAUCAUUAAAUUUCAGCCAUAUGAACUUAC